UAGGGAAUCUUCGGCAAUGGACGGAAGUCUGACCGAGCAACGCCGCGUGAGUGAAGAAGGUUUUCGGAUCGUAAAGCUCUGUUGUUAGAGAAGAACGUUGGUAGGAGUGGAAAAUCUACCAAGUGACGGUAACUAACCAGAAAGGGACGGCUAACUACGUGCCAGCAGCCGCGGUAAUACGUAGGUCCCGGGCGUUGUCCGGAUUUAUUGGGCGUAAAGCGAGCGCAGGCGGUUCUUUAAGUCUGAAGUUAAAGGCAGUGGCUUAACCAUUGUACGCUUUGGAAACGGGAGGACUUGAGUGCAGAAGGGGAGAGUGGAAUUCCAUGUGUAGCGGUGAAAUGCGUAGAUAUAUGGAGGAACACCGGUGGCGAAAGCGGCUCUCUGGUCUGUAACUGACGCUGAGGCUCGAAAGCGUGGGGAGCAAACAGG
rnacentral:rRNA from 1 species